CAGAGCGUAGCUAAGACCAGAAAAGCAUCUCCUUUACACUGAGAAGUCACCCGUGCAAAUCCGGUCGCCCUGA
rnacentral:tRNA from 1 species